GAAAUGCGAUAAGUAAUGUGAAUUGCAGAAUUCAGUGAAUCAUCGAAUCUUUGAACGCACAUUGCGCCCGCCAGUAUUCUGGCGGGCAUGCCUGUCCGAGCGUCAUUUCAACCAUCAAGCCCCCGGGCUUGUGUUGGGGACCUGCGGCUGCCCGCAGGCCCUGAAAACCAGUGGCGGGCUCGCUGUCACACCGAGCGUAGUAGCAACACCUCGCUCAGGGCGUGCUGCGGGUUCCGGCCGUUAAACAGCCUUACAAAACCCAAGGUUGACCUCGGAUCAGGUAGGAAGACCCGCUGAACUUAAGC
rnacentral:misc_RNA from 1 species